AUGACAGUGAGAAGGGAGCAGCCCCUGACACUCGCCCCCAGGGUCUGCCCUGUACCAGGGCUAUGCGUCCUGGCCAGCCAGUCCUCCCUGUGCUCGCAGGACGCUAGCACCUGUCCCCCAGGCUGCUGCUACCCACGUCCUCCAGGCCCCCACAGCGGCCCUCAACACCUGCUAGGGUCUGAGCUGCCCUCUGCAAACACCCGCCUCCCUCACCACGUUCCUGUUGGAGCUGUCCCCAGCAUUCAGGCUUCCAUGUGGAGGGGAGGCUGCUGGCUGGGUGAGUCGGGGGGCUCCGGGCAGCUGUGCGGGUGUGCAGACCCCGUGCUGUGGGGACUCCUACCCCGACUCCACAGGGUUCUUCUCAUGGGCCUCUGUCCUGAGCCACCCCAGUGCUGGGGUAGCAAAGCCAGAGGUGGGUGCCGGGACAGAGGAGCAGGAGGUGUGGGGGUCCCAGACGCCCCAGGGCUGGACAGAGCCAGCCUGUGCCGGACAGGAGCGGGUGCGAGCCCGGCCCCCACCCACAGGAGUCUGGUGUGGCCGCGCAGCCGCGGGGCAGCGGUCCGCGGGCACCGAGGUGAGAUGUGUUCUGGCAGCUCCCCGCUGCCCGAGGCCCGCCUGGAGCCAACACUGCUGGUGGCUUUAAUUGCUUUCACAUUCAAUGCGCUGCCCGUGACAGCCUCUUACCCCGUGCCCGCCGCACCCCAGCCCCCAACUCUGCCCAGGGACAGCAGAGUCCUGGCUGCCAGACAGGAGUCUCUGAGCGGGUGCUCUGCUCAGCAGCACCUGCGUGGGGCAGAGGACACCCUGGGACGGGGCUGGGAGGGACCAGGAAACUUUUCUCCCCAUGCACCCCCUGCUCCAUCUGCUUCUGCCAGGAGACUGAUGGGUUCAGACAGGGUCUCCACUGUGGAUGCCUCACUGGGAAAAGCCGCACGGCUGCUGUCUCAUCUGCCCAGUCCUUCCUGGCCCUGUAGCCACAGGUCCUGGCCCCUGCCCGUGCCCAGGAAUCAAGUCCUUCCUGGCAGGCUGGCUGCCCCUUACAGGUUUGCCACCCCACCAUGGCCAUCUCCAGGGGUCCCCACCUGCAGGCCCACCCGGGAUGCCUGUGCAGGGCCUCUCCCUUGGACCUGCAACCUCCCACCCCUUCCACAGGGUCCCUAG
rnacentral:lncRNA from 13 species